AAACCACCCAUAAGUUUUGCAACUGUAGCAGUUUUGGCCCCCAAGGCAAAAUAAUAAUAAUAAUAAUAAUAAUAACAAGUGGCACCUCACUUAGGGUGCCACGUCAGCGUAGACCGAGUCAAAAUUGAUUUUGGGGGCCAAAACUGCCACAGGUGCAAAACUUAAAGGGCGGUUU
rnacentral:pre_miRNA from 1 species